rnacentral:rRNA from 1 species
UACGUAGGGUGCGAGCGUUAAUCGGAAUUACUGGGCGUAAAGCGUGCGCAGGCGGUUUUGUAAGACAGAUGUGAAAUCCCCGGGCUUAACCUGGGAACUGCGUUUGUGACUGCAAGGCUAGAGUACGGCAGAGGGGGGUGGAAUUCCACGUGUAGCAGUGAAAUGCGUAGAGAUGUGGAGGAACACCGAUGGCGAAGGCAACCCCCUGGGCCUGUACUGACGCUCAUGCACGAAAGCGUGGGGAGCAAACAGG